CCUACGGGAGGCAGCAGUGGGGAAUAUUGGGCAAUGGAGGAAACUCUGACCCAGCAACGCCGCGUGAAUGAUGAAGGUCUUCGGAUUGUAAAGUUCUUUUCUAAGGGAAGAAGAAAGUGACGGUACCUUAGGAAUAAGCCUCGGCUAACUACGUGCCAGCAGCCGCGGUAAUACGUAGGAGGCAAGCGUUAUCCGGAAUGACUGGGCGUAAAGGGUGCGUAGGUGGUUUGACAAGUUGGUAGCGUAACUCCGGGGCUCAACCUCGGCACUACUACCAAAACUGUCGGACUUGAGUGCAGGAGGGGCAAAUGGAAUUCCUAGUGUAGCGGUGGAAUGCGUAGAUAUUAGGAGGAACACCAGUGGCGAAGGCGAUUUGCUGGACUGUAACUGACACUGAGGCACGAAAGCGUGGGGAGCAAACAGGAUUAGAUACCCGAGUAGUC
rnacentral:rRNA from 1 species